rnacentral:lncRNA from 1 species
GAGGAAAAAAUGAAUAAAUUGAACUUCGGGAGGGAUAAAAUUAUGUGUCUACAUCAUGACGCUUUUUGGGUGUAAACACAAAGUGUUUUCAGAAAAAAAAAAAAGACAACGAGACCAAAUUUUGACCGGACCAUUAUUCGAAGAAAGAAAUAGUAGGAAGGAGGACAACCGAGUAGGAGGGUCGAGUGAAUACUUGUCGAGGUUUCGGUCCGCGACUCUGUCAUUACAUCAAAAAUAAAAGUUACAAGUUAAAAGAUAACUAAAAUUACAAAAUUCCUAUCUAUGCAGCUACUUUUCGACUCUUGACUUGAGUUUCAGCACCCUGAUCUCCGGGUGGGCUCCCGACUUGUAAUUUCAUCACUUUAUUCUCCAGGCGGGCUCCUAACUUGCAAUUUCUUUAACUUGUUGCUUGACUUUCAAUUCCUUCACCCUGUUCUCUAGGCAGGAUCCUGACUUGGUAUUUUUCAAUCUGUUGACUUUCAAUUUCUUCACCCUGUUAUCCAGGCGGGCUCCCGACUUGCUAUUUUUCAAUCUGUUAACUUUCAAUUUCUUCAUCUUGUUGCUUGUUUUUCAACUUGUUGGCCUUGUUGUUUGACUUUCAACUUCUUCACUUUGUUGCUUGACUUUCAACUUAUUCGCCCUGUUCUUCAGGCAGGCUCCUGAAAUCUUAUCAAAACUAAAAAGAAAAUUAUUCCAAACAAAGAUUAUUAUAAUGAGAGAUUCCAUUUACCGGAAAAGUAAAGUUCCAAACAACAGGAGUUAGAUUUGUUGCCCCAGUUUAUCAUAAGAGGACUUUUGUGAAUGUCGAAUCCAAUUAUAAUUAUUUGUAUGUUGCAAUGAUGAAUCAAGACUCUGACCAAGAAAUGCAUCUCUAGAGAGUAAAAUUAAAUGACCAAGACUAGGAAGUGUGUCUCCUAAGAAUUAAAGUGAGGAAUUCCGACUAGAAAGUGUGUAUUCUAGAGCUAAAGGUUCAAAUUAGGAAGUGUGCCACCUGAUAAAUAAAAACUGACAAGGAAGUGCAUCCCCUAGGGGUUAAGUGCAAUGAUUCGACUAGAAAGUACAUCUUCUAGGAAUCAAGGGGACUGACUCGACUAGGAAGGACACCUUUUAGGAAUCAAGGGGACUGACUCAACUAGGAAGCACACUUUCUAGGAAUCAAGGGGAAUGACUCGACCAGGAAGUAUUUCUUCUAGGAAUCAAGGGGACUGACUCGACCAGGAAGUACAUCUUCUAGGAAUCAAGAGGGAUGACUCGACCAGGAAGUACAUCUUCUAGGAAUCAAGGGGAAUGACUCAACCAGGAAGUACAUCUUCUAGGAAUCAGGGGGACUGACUCGACUAGGAAGUUCAUCUUCUAGGAAUCAAGGGGACUGACUCAAUCAGGAAGUAAAUCUUAUGGGAAUCAAGGGUACUGACUCGACGAGGAAUCACAUCUUCUAGGAAUCAAGGGAAGUGACUCGACUAGGAAGUACAUAUUCUAGGAGUCAAGACUUAAUUUAGGAAGUGCAUCACCUAACAAGUAAAAUUCGAAUUACCCAAUCAAGGAAGUGCAUCUCCUUACCAAUGGCGCUUGAAUUGCCGAAACAAAGAAGUGCGUCUACUUACCAAUGUCGCUUGAAUUUUCCAAACAAGGAAGUGCGUCUCCUUAUAAAUGCCACUUGAAUUACCCAAACAGGGAAGUGCGUCUCCCCACAAAUGCCACUUGAAUUACCCAAAGAAAUGCGUCUCCUUACAAAUGUCGUUUGAAUUAACCAAACAAGGAAGUGCGUCUCCUUACAAAUGACGCUUAAAUUAUCCAGACAAGGAAAUGUGUCUCCUAACAAAUGCCACUUGAAUUUCCCAAGGAAAUACGUCUUUUUACAAAUGUCACUUAAUCUACCCAUACAAGCACUACUAAAAAAUGUCAAAAAGCGACGGCCAGCGUCGCUUUUUUGGGCAAAAACGAUGGAAAUUCAUCGUUUUUUCGGUCUUAAAAAGGGGUGUCAUUUUUUGAAAACGAUGGCCUGAGUCGCUUUUACGAAUUUUUUUUAAAUUAUUUUUUUAAAAAGCAACGUUGUGCGUCACUUUUUCUUCUUUAUGUGAAGAACUCAUGAUGAACCAAAAAUGAUGGACAUCGUCGUUUUAUUAAAAAAUAAUUUUUUUUCAAAAAAAUUAACACUGUCUGUCAUAAUUUGAGAAAAAUAAAAUAUAUUUUUUAAAAAGGCGACGUUGGUCAUCGAUUUUUGUUCUUCAUUAUGAAUAAAAAGUGACGUUGGUCGUCCCUUUUUGUUCUUCAUAAUGAAUAAAAAGCAAUGUUGGUCGUGGCAUUUUGUUCUUCAUAAUGAAUAAAAAGCGACGUUGGUCGUCACUUUUUGUUCUUCAUAAUGAAUAAAAAAGCGACGACCGUCGUCGAUUUUUUGUAAAUUUUUUAUGCAGAAAUCUGCAUUUUCUGCAUCCCACCUGUCAAAUAAAAAUGCAAUUCAAUAUAUACAUCCCUCAUGCAACACACAUCAUUACAAUAUUCAUACAACAAACUACAUCAACAAAUCAUUUAACCAAUUCAAAUCAACAACACUUAAACAAAUUUCAAUGCUCUAAUUCACUUCUCAAAUGACUUAACUUAACCAUUUUCAAGUUAUGAAUUCACAUUUCACGUAUCAACACUAAACCAAUUUCAAGUCAUGAAUUCACAUUUGCAAGUGAUUACACUUCAAAAAUUUAAAAACACAAGUUCACCAUGCAAGAACUACAUUAAUCCAUUUUCAAGUCGCUAAUCCACUUUUCAAGUGACUAGUACACAUUUCAAAACACUACACUUAACCAUUUUCAACUCUCUAAUUCAUUUCUCAAAUGACUAAACUUAACCAUUUUCAAGUCAUGAAUUCACAUUUCAAGUAUCAACACUAAACCAAUUUCAAGUCAUGAGUUCACAUUUUCAAGUGAUUACACUUUACAAAUUUCAAAACACAAGUUCACCUUUCAAGAACUACAUUAAACCAUUUUCAAGUCGCUAAUCCACUUUUCAAGUGACUAGUACACAUUUCAAAAUACUACACUUAACCAUUUUCAACUCUCUAAUUCACUUCUCAAAUUACUAAACCUAACCAUUUUCAAAUCAUGAAUUUACAUUUCAAGUAUUAACAUUAAACCAAUUUCAAGUCAUGAAUUCAUCUUUUCAAGUGGUUACACUUUAACAAUUUUAAAACGCAAGUUCACCUUUCAAGAACUACAUUUCAAGUCGCUAAUCCACUUUUCAAGUGACUAGUACACAUUUCAAAAUACUACACUUCUCAAAUGACUAAACUUAACCAUUUUCAAGUCAUGAAUUCACAUUUCAAGUAUCAACACUAAACCAAUUUCAAGUCAUGAAUUCACAUUUUCAAGUGAUUACACUUUACAAAUUUCAAAACAUAAGUUCACUUUUCAAGAACUACAUUAAACCAUUUUCAAGUCGCUGAUCCACUUUUCAAGUGACUAGUACACAUUUCAAAACACUACACUUAACCAUUUUCAACUCUUUAAUUCACUUCUCAAAUGACUAAACUUAACGAUUUUUAAGUCAUGAAUUCACAUUUUCAAUUGAUUACACUUUAAAAAUUUCAAAACACAAGUUCACCUUUCAAGAACUACAUUAUACCAUUUUCAAGUCGCUAAUACACUUUUCAAGUGACUAGUACACAUUUAAAAGCACUACACUUAACCAUUUUCAACUCUCUAAUUCACUUCUCAAGAGACUAAACUUAACCAUUUUAUAGUCGUGAAUUCACAUUUAAAGUUUCAACACUAAACCAAUUUCAAGUCAUGAAUUCACAUUUUCAAGUGAUUACACUUUACAAAUUUGAAAACACAAGUUCACCUUUCAAGAACCACAUUAAACCAUUUUCAAGUCGCUAAUCCACUUUUCAAGUGACUAGUACACAUUUCAUAACACUACACUUAACCAUUUUCAACUCUCUAAUUCACUUCUCAAAUUACUAAACUUAACCAUUUUCAAGUCAUGAAUUCACAUUUCAAAUAUCAACAGUAAACCAAUUUCAAGUCACGAAUUCACAUUUUCAAGUGAUUACACUUUACAAAUUUCAAAACACAAGUUCACCUUUCAAUAACUACAUUAAACCAUUUUCAAGUCGCUAAUCCAAUUUUCAAGUGACUAGUACACAUUUCAAAAUACUACACUUAACCAUUUUUAACUCUCUAAUUCAUUUCUUAAAUGACUUAACUUAACCAUUUUCAAGUCAUGAAUUCACAUUUCAAGUAUAAACACUAAACCAAUUUCAAAUCAUUAAUUCACAUUUUCAAGUGAUUGUUGACACCUAAUUUUUUUCCUCCGUAACUGAGUUUAGUCUUGAGUUUCUUCGAUUUUAAAAUAAAAUUACAACAUUUACUUUACCCGAAUAAAAGAUUUUCAAAUCGUUUAGUCGGCUAAUUUCAUCGUUUAAGUGACGAUUAUAUACUAUCGUAUUCAAUUAUACGAAAAUAUAUAUAUAAUUUUGUCGCUUAAACAUUUAUUCUACGGAAUGCCGGUCUUUUAAUUAAGGAUUAUCUUGAAAAUAAUUUUAAUAAUUAGAAUCUUGAUUCAAAUAAUUUACUCUCAAAAAAUAAUUUAUUCGGAUGAAUAUGUGUUUAAUUUUUAUCGAAUCAAGAAGCUUGGGGUUAAAUAAGCUAUUAAUUCAUUUCAAGAAAUGAUUUAAUUUGGAAAAUCUGUUACAUUCGUCCGCAAUUGAAAUCAAAUUGGCCAUAAUUGCGAUGCAAUUGGCCAAUUGAUCUUCAAUUCAGCCAAAACCUGAAUGAAUGGCCAAAUCCUCAAUUUCAACCCAAUUAGCAAAUCAGUAGCGGCCCAUUUUCUCUUCAAUUAUAUCAACCGGACCGAGCCAUAUAUUCCUGACCCACCAGCCCACCCCCUAUUUUCCAAAUUCCCAAAAUAAUCUAAACCAGCCCAAUGAUAAUUAACUGCCACCCCAAGCCCAACAACAAACGACCGGCCCAGCGCCUAAACCCCUACCCAGCCCAUCUUCUUUUCCUCUUUAACUUCCAUAAGCAACAAAAACUUCAAGUCAACACCAACCAUCGUUAACACCAACCAAAUCUAGAACCCACCUUCAACCCAGAAUUUGGAGAAACUAGAAACCAACUCCAUCCUUCUUCACGCGUUCCAUGCGAUAGCACGAUGAGGAAAGACCUAAAAGCUUCUAGAAAAUAGGUGAGUUGGCUCACCCCAACGGAUAAAUUCCAUGAAUCUCAAAAUUAUUGGUACGAUUUCAUACCUAUGUGUUUGGUUUUGAUUUGUUUUGGGAGGGGAUUUCUACUUUUCCUUUUCCUAUUGGUUGGAACCAAUUCAAAAUUUUCCAAGAAUCCAAAAAUCGGUACAAGUUCGAGUAACAAAUCCCGUUGUCAACCUUAUCAUCAGUUUUGAAUUUUGAAAUUUUUGUAAAAUACCAAGACUGCCCUUACGGGAAGCCCAAAAAUGAACCCUAUCUUUUUGUUUCUCUAUAAAGAGGGGGGCUUGAGUAUUCUAAGGGAGUCUCUUGCUUUUGGGGGGAGGAAGGAAAAAAUUUCUUGAGAGGAAAAUUCUAGGUCACUGUUUAUGGCAUUUUUUUUCUCUUCUUUUCCUUCUGAGGUUGAUAUUACGAGGUUAGUUAUCGAGAGGGGUUUUUCUUUUCUUUUUUUUUUUUGGCUUUUUGGGGAGGGGUUAGAAAUCUUGGUUGAAAUUAGAAGGUUUGAGACAAGAUUUGGAAAGAAACUGAAGAAAAAUUUUUCUUAAGCUAGUUCGAAAGGUUGAUUAGAAGUUGGGUUGGGGAUUCUGAAAUCAAAGAAGUUUAUUUCCUGAAAAAUUUGCUCGUCCAUUUCUUUUUUGGAAGCUAGUCGAUUAAUUAGGAAUUCCCGAGUCGACAACAUUAAUUCCCAGUGGUGACGACUUUACUAAUAGCUUAUCGUCCCGCUUGCUGCUCUGGAAUAGGUAAAGAUCCCUCAUCCUGUUUAAUAUACCGUUCUCUUCUUCCACCUUGUUUCAUUGUAAUGAUGUUUGGUCAUUCGAAUAUAAGGUCUAUUAGGGGGGCUGUAUUGGUUUAAAAGAUGAACAUAGUGUCUAUUAUGAGGGUGUAUGAUCUUUUGAAUGGUGGAGAGUCUGUUGUCUGGUUAUUUUCUUAAAGAAAUCCCUAUUCAUAGUUUCAUCUUGGUUGGUUCUGGUUCACUUGUUUUAUUUUGUUCACAAGACUGAAGCUUAAAAUGUGUAGGGGUUUUGUGGGUAUCCUGACCCCUAUUGAUCAAUUGCAAAAAAUGUGUUGGAAGUACAAGUAGUUUAUUAGCACGUGAGUCGUCUGAUGGUUGUUUAUAUUUUCAAACUCAAGUUGUCCGCUUGAGAACCAGUUUUCAAACCCACUCUAGAUACUUAGGAUAGAGCGAAACCAAAACCCUAUUUUAGGUAUGAGCCUAGGACGACAUAAUACCCGAGUGGGGUAUUGGGCCCAUUGAAAACCUACCCUGCGUCUAUUAACCCCGAGUAAAUUACAGAAGAAUCAUAUUUAUGUGUUGAAGAAAUAUAUGUUUGUUUUAUCCAAUCCAUUAUCCUUUGGGGGUCGGGAGAAUACUUGUUUUACUCACUUUUGUAUAAGGAUGCCUCAAUCGUACACCGAUUGACGAAAGAAUUGAAAUUGAUCGAUUUGGAAGGUUGCAUCUAAGGCACAGUUUACAUACGUCACCAAUAUAAGAAGGCGGAGGUUGAUAGAAGAAGCACUCAGGAAUUAGUAUUUUCUAUCCCCUGCGUGGGAGCUUUUCUUCUUUCAUGCUAUUUCCCUUGUUUCCUAAAGAUUGUACCCCUCUUUUGUUAUCGUUUGUAAGCACUUACGCAUACCUUUUUCGUGUCUAUAUAAGUUGGAUGAUAAUGGAUUGACUUUAUGAAAGCAUAUACUUUCUUCAAAAAUCGUUAGGCCUGAACCCUUGGUUCAAAAAGGGUCACCCCAGUUAGGAUACACAUUAUUAUAAUGUUUUGUGUAAUUGUCUUAUGAGCUUAUGUGUGUUUGUUUGGAUCAAAGGCAAGUUGAUCCGCUAUGCUCCUAUGGAUUAAUUGGAUAUGACUCAAACAACUCUACGUGGUUAUUUCUUGUCAAAUAUUUUGCAUUACUUAUCACAUACAAAAACUAACACAUCUGCUUUUGAGUUGUUUUACUUUACAGAUAAUAGAAACUACUCUGUGUUGAUAUAAGCUGGCAGAACAUCCCUACUUUAUCCACCCUAAAGUGCAUAAAAUCCCAUCCUCUGACCAUCAUUCAAUAGUGAUUGGAAAUGAUGAAGAAAACACGUUGGCCAUCAGGGACAAUGUAAUAGUGGAACAGAGUGAGAUGAUUGCGAAACUCGCAAGAAAAUUAGAAAUGCUUCAGGAGGAAAUAAAUCGUACUCGAGAUUUGGCUCACCUGGCCAUCACUAUUAAUGCUCCCGCUCCAGGAGAACAUGAUACUCCACUCCAAAUCCCUUCCCUCAGUACGCCUAUUCUUGGGGAUCAACCAAAUAACAUAUCAUUCGUCUCUGCCCCUCCACUUGUCCAAAAUACCAAUCAUGAAAAUAACCCAGAUGCUUACCAUCCACAAAAUCCAUCUCUAACCCCACAAAAUCCAUUUCUGAAUCCAUCUCCAAAUCCUCAAAAUACAUUCACAAAUCAACAAAACACAUUCCCAAAUCCGCAAAAUUCACUCCCAAAUCCACAAAAUAUGUCAAACCUACCUUUGAAUCCACCAAAUUCAUUUCCAAAUCUGCAAAAUCCUUCUCAUAUUCUGCCAAACUACUCACAAAGUCCACAGAACCUUCCCAAUUUUCAAAACAUACUCCCCACUUACCAACCAAGUUCUUUUCUUCCACAAAAUCAAGCCUCCCUUCAAAAUCCCCCUCAAGCCAUCAUAUCCCCUGAUAUUUUUGAACCCCUUCCUAACCCUGAGAUGGACCAUUACAAAGAAAAGGAGAAAGAGUAGAGUAUGAACCCCUUCCGAACCCCGAGAUGGACCAUUACGAGGAGAAGGAGAAAGAGUGAAGGACCCAGCAUGAAAGGAAUUUACUAGCUAUGAAGGAAGAGAUCAUGAGGAUCAAAGAGUCUCAUAGAGCCAGGGACCACGGCGGUUUAGGGUAUGACGAUUUAUCCGUUCACCUGGGAGUAGACCUACCAUAUGGGUACAAAGUCCCUAAGUUUGAGAUAUUUGAUGGUACCAAAAAUCCAAUGGCCCACCUGAGAAGGUACUGUGAGCAACUGGUAGGAAUAGGGAAAAACGAGGCAUUAUUGAUGCGCCUAUUAAGUCAAAGUUUGAGUGGCAAAACCUUGGAGUGGUUCAUGUCUCAGGAGCUAAAAAAGUGGACUGGAUGGAAAGCAUUGGCCAAGGGUUUCCUUGACCGGUUCGUAUUCAGCAUUGAAAUAGUCCCUGAUCGAUAUUCACUAUAUCGGAUCAAACAGAGAAAAGUUGAGAGUUUUUGAGACUAUGCUUUUCGUUGGAGAAAAGAAGCCGCCAAAGUGCAACCCCCCAUGUCCGAGGAGGAAAUGGUAUUCGUGUUCUCUCGCGCUCAUGAAGGAGAAUAUUAUACCAGGAUGGUGUCCGCUGUCAGGGCAAUUUUUGUGGAUUUGGCAAAAAUAAGAGAAUAAUUGGAAGAAGGUAUUUGGACAGGGAAAAUUGCCAAAACCCCGACGUCGUCUGCGACUGUCAUGUUCUCGAAGAAGAAAAAUGAAGAUGUAGGUGUGAUUUCUGCUAAUCCUGUUGCGAAAACGAAAAAGAGGUUCAACUUUAGAAAUGUUUUAUCUUCUCCGCCGUCACCCAACCUCCAACACGUGUUCUACGCGCAUCCCCAAUACCUAGCUCCACUCUCAAAUGCCCAACCUCCAUAUUAAUAAAAAUUAUGUAAAAUGUCGGAUUUGAAUUAAUAAAUUAUGAAAAAUGAUAAUUUAAUAAAUGUUGAAAUGACGAUAAAAAUAGUAAGACGUCACCACUCCCAAACAUCCAAUCCUCAUACCAAGCUCCACAACCAAAUACCUUUUCUCAUUACCUAGCUCCACCUCCAAAUUAUCAAUCUCAUUUACAAUCCACUCCUCUAAAUAACCAAACAAAUUUCCAAGCGCCUCCAAAUUAUCACCAAGUACCUCCUCCUCCAAAUCAAAGCCAGUACAACCCCCAACGUCUAAACCACGAAAAGAAACGUCCCCAAAACUUUACCCCACUAGGUGAAAGUCGCACUUAAUUGUUUGAAAGAUUGAAGAAUGCUGGUCAUUUGAAACCAACAUAGCCAAGGCAUGUCAAUACUAACUCUUGAUUUUUCAAUGCAAGUCAACAUUGUACCUAUCAUUCAAGAGUAGCGGGGCACAAUACAGAAGAUUGUGGCUACCUGAAACAUAGGAUCUAUGAUUUAAUCGAUCAGAAGGUCAUUACGCUCCAGGCACCUACACCAAAUGUUAACAGUAAUCCAUUGCCUAACCAUGGGGGGCCUACAGCUAACAUGAUUGAAAUAGAGGGUGAACGGGCAUCCAGCAAGACCAUCACUAAGGUAAAUUCAAAAGGACUCAAAAGAAUAAAAGAGGUGGAGAAGAUAGAGAAAGUUGUGACCACCUUAAGUAAGGAUUUGGAAGGAAUUGUUGAGCCUGUUAUGGUCCCAGAAAAAGCAUUUAAGCAUGGAAUAGAGUACCAACCAAGAAAAGAAAAUGAGAUCGAAGAUAAUUCAAAGGAGAGUCCGUCUAAACCAUCGUCACUCCUGCACCAAUUAUUUCCCUUACAUGAGACGUUAAAUGAUGAUGGUAUUGGGGAUGGGAUAGGAAAUCUGUUCAAGGGAUACAGUGCUGUAUCAGAAGAUUUUUCAAAACAUAGUGGGGUAAAGAAGGUUGCACCAGGAGAGGCUUUGCAAAAUUGGACUUCCACUCCGCUCCUAAUUCAUCACCCGUCGCUGUAGAUGGAAAGACAAUUACUAAUAGUUUUUAAAAUCGGUGAUGAUUCGGAAGAGGCCCUGUGAUCCAUCCUUUUAUGUCUCAAAUUGUCGUUUCGUGUUUUACAACUUUCAAAAAGGCAUGGGCCCACAUUUGUGUGGGUCAUAAGCCAUGGUUUUAUUUUCUUAUUUUCUGAAAGGCCUCCCUUUAUUUAAGAAGUUAUUUUUUUAAAUAUGAUUAUCUAGCAUGGUUUAUAUUGGUAGCAUUAAUUUAAAAACCUGUCAAUGUCAUGUCAUGUCAAGGGUAAGAUGAACACGGCGAAGGAAAUAAUGAUGAACAGAAAAGGUGAUGAGGAGCGGUUAGUAGUAGAUAUAAAGGAAUGUGAAAAUCAAAAGAAGCCCAACCUAGAGGAGCCCUAAUCCUACCUGAGACGUAUGGUCAAGAGUGGACCAAACUGAUCAAUUCUGAUGCGGUAAAGAUAUAUCAUGCUUGAAAGAUGUUAUAGUUUUUGCUUCUUGGCUUAUUUGUAAUCUCCUUUAUAAUAGUAUCAAUUUUAUGAAGUGUAAUCGCCUAGAAUCCUUUCCUUUUAUGUUCGAACUACGUUUGACCUGAAUUCCCAAAAGGGAGGCGGCCUAUGUCGGCUUCGGUCAACCCCUUAGGAAAUUUAUCCUUUCCCUUUAUGUAUGAACUACGUGAUGACCUAAAUUCCUGAGAAAGGGAUACGUAGGUGGCCUAUGUCGGCUUUGGUCAACCCAUUAAUUUCUUUUGUAUAUCCCUAGCGUAGUUUUGAACUACGUUUGACCUGAUUCCUGCUUCAACGGGAUACGUAGGCACCCCAACGGCUCAGUCAUACCCUAGAAAAUGGAAACUGGGGCAGAAUUUUCGAGAAGGAACCUCAAAAAUUCAUAAGAGAAGAUCGAUGCCGAACAAAGAGAAUGAAGAUCAGCAAAGACUUCAGAUCCACUCGAGUUAGUAUCAUCCCAAACAACUCUAAACUGGGGCAAAAAGUUUGAGGGAAGACCUCAAAAUUUCGACCAGACGCUGGAACAUAUUUCAAAUUCCCCAGCACUAGAGGUCAAAGUUGAGAUUGGAGAAUCACCACCUGUGAUAAAUAUUAGGAAGAUUGAAUCACCGUCUUUGAUAAAAACUUCUGGUAGAGAUCCUUGACAAUACUGAAUCCCUAACAAUCCUCUGUCAAACGUCGGACAUUGUCAGAAUCAAGAAAAAGAUGGUCGUUGGACUAGCACAUGACAUGACUAGCAGAGAUUUUCUAAAGCUUUCGAAACUAAUUUCUAAAAUUUAAGACUACUUUCAAAAAUCCUCAUAAAUCUUUUAAUUAGUAUUUACCUAGACAUCAAUUGGGACGGAGAGUCAGGGGUAGAGGUCCCAGCAUGAUGAAGCACCUGAAAGAUGGCGAGGAGCAAAUCAAGGAUUGAAUGAGGUCAAAACGGAGUAAUUUUAUUCAAACUAAUCAUUUUUUUGUGGAUGCAGGGAUCAAUACACAAAAAUAAGAGUCUCUUUCAAAAAAUACCCAGCAAAUUGGGUGCCACACUGGAGCAUUAAUGCCCAAGAACGGUGUUUUAGGGUAGCCCUAAAAAUAGGUUUAAUGCCCAUUUAAUGAGGACCUUUUGAUUUGUCCAUCUCAUUUCUUGAGAUCGUAGGCGACAAACAAAAGCUCUUUGUCUUCUUUACAAAUAUUAUAUUUAGAAGUUUCCUAAAAAUAGUCGCUAGUAAAAGAGACUUUGUGUUUACUAAUCGUCCACCUUGAGUACAGGUACAUGUAGAAAGCAGGACACUGACAAAUAAAGCCACGUAAAAUUAUUUUAUCAUUGCCGCAAAGGCCAUUAGAUAUCAUUGCCGCAAAGGCCAUCGCAUAUCAUUGCCGUAAAGGCCAUGACAUAUUAUUAUCGCAAGGGCAAUCACAUAUCAUUGCCGCAAAGAACAAUACAUAUCAUUGCUGCAAAGACCAUUACAUAUCAUUGCCGCAAAGGUCAUUACAUAUCAUUGCCGCAAAGUCCAUUACAUAUCAUUGCCGUAAAGGCCAUUACAUAUCAUCGCCAUAAAGGCCAUUACAUAUCAUUGCCGCCAGGGCAAUCUCAUAUCAUUGCCACAAUGGCCAUUUCAUAUCAUUACCGCAAAGGCCAUCUCAUACCAUUGCCCCAGAAGGCAUUCAAUAUCUGUUGACGCGCUAGACACAAUGCUGGCAUCGAGGAUAUCAUCAUCAUUCAAUAUCUGUUGACGCGCUAGACACAAUGCUGGCAUCGAGGAUAUCAUCAUUCAAUAUCUGUUGAUGUGCUAGACACAACGUUGGCGUCGAGGAUAUCCUCAUCAUUCAAUAUCUAUUGAUGCGCUAGACAUAACACUGGCAUCGAGGAUAUCACCAGCAUUCAAUAUAUCUGUUGACGUGCUAGACACAACGCUGGCAUCGAGGAUAUCAUCAUCUUUUCAUGAAUCAGUAGCUGAAUGCAUCGAGAGCGCAUGAUUUGAAGGGACGCCUUUAAGUCGCUAUCUAUGGAUGAAAGAUAUAUAAGGUUUCCUAGAAAUUGACAAUUUGAGGGUCAUCUAUAAGUCAUAUUAUUUGAAAUAGGAUAGUGUGCAAGAUCACCUAUGAGUUGAUAGCUUGUAGGUCAUCCGUAAGCCACAACAACAUCCUAACCGAAUAAUGUGCAAGAUUGCCCAAAAAUCGAUAGUUCAAAGGUUAUCCACAAGCCGCAACUAAAUCCUUACCGGAGAAUAUGCAAGAUUAACAAAUUGAUAUGUCCAAAGGUUCUCUAUAAGACGCGUCAUAUCCAAGAUUGAUUAUGUGCAGGAUUACCCAAAGACUAAUAAUUUGAGGGAUUAUCUAUAAGUCAUAUUGUAUCCAAGGUCGGAUGAUGUGCAUCAACACCUGAAAGCUAGCAACUGGAGGGAUAUCGGUAAGCCAUCUCUUAUCCAAAGUCAAAUAAUGUGCAGGAUUACCUAAAAGCUAGCAAUUCAAAGGAUAUUUGUAAGUCGCCUCGUAUCCAACUUCAAAUAAUGCACAAGAUUAUCCAAAGAUUGACAAUUUAAAAAAAAAAAUUAUAAAUCGAUCAUCUGCUAUAACCAAAGAGGUUAUCAUUCCACAUACAAAAAGUGAUAUAGGUAACCAAAAGGGUUGCCACACCAGUAUAAGAUUACACAGCUAUAGGGACCGUUCUACAAAAAAUAUCCUCGGUGUCCAAAAGGGCCACCCCACUCUGAAGGCAUAUUCAACCGACAAAUGUCAUAAUUAUACAACAACCAAGAUGAUUGUUGUAUUUGUUGUUGCCAGUUAUUUCAUUCCAAAACAGGUGCAUGGAAAGAUGACUUUGCUUCUUAGACAACAACUCACGUGGAGAUGUGGUAAAAACUAUACUCCUUUCUCGUGAAUUGUGCUUAUUAUUAAUGAUUUUUGUUUGAGAUAUUGUUGAGAGCAUCCGAGAGGAUGAAAAUCUCAAAUCAAAACCACAGGUGCGGACGACUCCCAAAAAGAACGCAGCACAACGUCGAACUCUGACUCAGCAGCAAAAUGGGACAUAGUCUGGAGAGAGAUGCCAAACUCUCUAGACACGAGCUAAAUGAUGAUCACCACCACCAUCUAACCACGCCUCUAUUAGAAAGAAUGUGGGUAUUUUUGGAUAUUAUGGUCUCAGCUUUACUUUUGAGAUGUUUUCUUAACUCAUAUCGAGAGGAACUUUCUCAUCCUUUCAAAUUCAAGUGACAACAUACUUAGAAUUUUGGAAAUUAUGGCCGGGUAAGUUCUUUUCUAUGAGUGGGAAGGAUCCCACAUUCUUGAUUAAGAGGUUACAAGCCUUUUUCCACAGCUCAAUCAACUUGUCAUUUAUCCUAAGCCAAAGACCGUCUGAAAUAAAGGCUAUCUUUUCUACCGAUUGAGUCGAACUACAAGCAGUCUGAUUCCUUAAGUCUUGGGGAUAUGUAGGCUGGGCUCCGUAUAGAAAACUCAAUUGCGUUCCAACCUCCCCUAAAUCCCUCUACUCCCUCACUUUUUUUAUUUUAUCAUAAAUUCCCAAAAAAUCGAGAUAUCUUGUGAAUUUUUGAAACCUGAUGCCGAGGUCCUGCCAUAACUCCUUAGGAUCGUACAUAAACCAACUUCCUCCAGAUAUGAAUUUGUGGUCGGACAAAAUUAGGGACAUCAACCUCUCUUUGCCCAGGGUCACUUGCAUUCACCCUAUCCAAAGGGAGAGGGCAGUUGUUGACACCUAAUUUUUGCCCACAGUAACUGAGUUUAGUCUCGAGUUUCUUUGAUUUUAAAAAAAAAUUACAACAUUUACUUUACCCGAAUAAAAGAUUUUCAAAUCGUUUAGUUGGCUAAUUUCAUCGUUUAAGUGAUGAUUAUAUACUAUCGUAUUCAAUUAUACGAAAAUAUAUAUAUAAUUUUGUCGCUUAAACAUUUAUUCUACGGAAUGCCGGUAUUUUAAUUAAGGAUUAUCUUGAAAAUAAUUUUACUAAUUAGAAUCUUGAUUCAAAUAAUUUACUCUCAAAAAAUAAUUUAUUCAGAUGAAUAUGUAUUCAAUUUUUAUCGAAUCAAGAAGCUCGGGGUUAAAUAAGCUAUUAAUUCAUUUCAAGAAAUGAUUUAAUUUGGCCAAUCUGUUAGAUUCGGCCGCAAUUGAAAUCAAAUUGGUAAUAAUUGUGAUGCAAUUGGCCAAUUGAUCUUCAAUUCGGCCAAAACCUAAAUGAAUGGCCAAAUCCUCAAUUUCGACCCAAUUAGCAAAUCAGUAGCGGCCCAUUUUCUCUUCAAUUAUAUCAAUCGAACCGAGCCAUAUAUUCCUGACCCACCAGCCCACUCUCUAUUUUCCAAAUUCCCAAAAUAAUCUAAACCAGUCCAAUGAUAUUUAACUGUCACCCCAAGCCCAAUAUCAAACGACCGGCCCAGCGCCUAAACCCCUACUAACCCAUCUUCUUUUCCUCCUUAAAUUCCAUAAGCAACAGCAACUUCAAGUCAACACCAACCAUCAUCAACACCAACCAAAUCCAAAACCCACCUUCAACCCAGAAUUCGGAGAAACCAGUAACCAACUCCAUCCUUCUUCACGCGUUCCACAUGAUAGCACGAUAAGAAAAAACCUAAAAGCUUCUAGAAAAUGGGUGAGUUGGCUUACCCCAACGGCCAAAUUCCUUGAAUCUCAGAAUUAUUGGUACGAUUUCGUACCUAUGUGUUUUUUGGUUUUGAUUGGUCUUGGGAGCGGAUUUAUACGUUUCCUUUUCCUAUUGGUUGGAACCAAUUCGAAAUUUUUCAAGAAUCCAAAAAUCGGUAAAAGUUCGAGUAACAAAUCCUAUUAUCAACCUUAUCAUCAGUUUUGAAUUUUGAAAUUUUGGAAAAAUACCAAGACUGACCUUACGGAAAGCCCAAAAAUGAACCCUAUCUUUUUGUUCCUCUAUAAAGAGGUGGGCUUGAGGGUUCUAAGGGGGUCUGAGGGAGGAAAAAAGUUCUUGCGAGGAAAAUUCUAGGUCACUAUUUAGGUUAUUUUUUUCUCUUCUUUCCCUUCUGAUGUUGAUAUUACGAGGUUAGUUAUCGAGAGGGGUUUUUCUUUUCUUUCUUUAUUUUGGCUUUUCAGGGAGGGGUUAGAAAUCUUGGUUGAAGAUUAGAAGGUUAGAGACAAGAUUUCGAAAGAAACUGAAGGAAAAUUUUUCUUAAGUUAGCUUGAAAGGCUGAUUAUAAGUUGGGUUGGGGAUUCUGAAAUCAAAGAAGUUUAUUUCGUGAAAAAUUUGCUCGUCCAUUUCUUUUUGGGAAGCUAGUCGAUUAAUUGGGAAUUCCCGAGUCGACAACAUCAAUUCCCAGUGGUGAUGACUUUACUGAUAGCUCAUCGUCCCACUUGCUGCUCUGGAACAUGUAAAGAUCCCUCAUCCUAUUUAAUUUACCGUACUAUUUUUCCACCUCGUUUUGCUGUAAUAAUGUUUGGUCGUUCAAAUAUGAGGUCUAUUGGGGAGGGAGGGGCUUUGUUGGUUUAAAAGAUGAACAUAGUGGCUUUUGUCAGGGUGUAUGGUCUUUUAAAUGGUGGAGAGUCUGUUGUCUGGUUAUUUUCUUAAAGAAAUCCCUAUUCAUGGUUUCAUCUUGGUUGGUUCUGGUUCACUUGUUUGAUUUUGUUCACAAGACUGAAGCUUAAAAUGUGUAGGGGCGUACUCAGGGAAGUAUGAGUCUGUUUUCUUGAUUCCCAUAUGUAAUAAUGCAGAAAGUGAUGGCUCUUUGGGGUUGUUUCUGGAUGUGUUUUAAUCAUAUCCUUGUAUAGCAUACCAAGUCCAGAUUGUCAGGUUUUCUAUAUCAUUUCUUUCUAGAAUUUUCCUUUCAUCUAAGUUCUAUCCUUGGCUUUCAAUUUUCUGUUCCCAGGUCGGAUUGACAACAUUCUGUUCGUAGCUCAUAUUUGGUGUGGUUCUGAUGGUCAUUAUUAGUCUAAUGUGAUGCUCAUAAGUUGGGGUGCAAUUAAAUCUAUGUUAGUUUAAUGAAUUGCUUGUAUCAAAUCUGGGUAUCUUUUGCCUUAAGUUGCUCUUUGUUGUUAUGUAUAGCACUAUUAUUAUACUAACGGGAUAUCAGAUACGUUUUCAUGUUUCUUUGAGCGUUGUUUCUAGACGUUUCGCCAAGUAAGGAGUUCUCUGCCUGUUGAAUAAAAAUAAGUAUCAUCUUGAUAAUUGAUUGAAGUGUUAGUUGUUAGGAUGCUAUAGUAUUUGUGUACCCACUGAAUUUCUUCUAGUUAUUCAUGCUUAAAUUAAUUCCAUAUGUGUGGAUCAUAUUUUUGUUCCAUUGUUUUAUAAACUUGAAUGCAGUUAGGCAUAUGUUAUAAACUCGAAUGCAGUUAGGCAUAUGUUAGAGUAAAUAGUUGCUUCUGCCAAAUGUGGUCCCUUUUCGUAAUGUUUUCCCUUCCUCUGGAUCUUAUGACAUUACACCAUUAAAAUAUAUUUUAAUGCUCUGCCAAGCAUUCUAUCUAAUUGGUUUCCUGCGUAUCGAAUGGAAUUACUAUUAUGUUUAUAUGGAUUGAACUAUUGGUUGUCAUUUUGCAGUGUUCGUGUAUCGGUUCAAAUUCUUUCUUAAGUUCUUUUAGUUGAAUUAUUUCCUCAUCCUUAUUUUUACAUGUUCCUUGCAUGAACCCGCUUUGUGAGAAAAAAAAAUGGACCCUAUUCCUGCUGUUGCAUUAUUAAUGGGGGCCAAUGAGACCCAUUCCUCACGAGCCAAUUAUUAAAAAUCUUAAAACAAGGACCUCAUAGUACGCGGAUCUGAGAGGUUAAUGAAGAACAGCAAUAGAUUAAAGGCCUACGUUUGGAGCGGUUAAGAGGCUCAAAAGUCUCAUUCGUUGUUUUAUUUACUUGUUUAUUUAUUUAUUCAUCUAUUUGGGUCUCAAAGCCAAAGUUGUAAAUUUAAUACAGGUGGAGCGAUACUCGAGCCAAAGGCUCGAAAUAUAAACUAGGAUAGGUGGAAGACGAGCUGAAAGCCUAAUAUCUAGACUAGGACAGGGUGACGAAUUUGGGCAUAAAGGCCCAAAUAAUUUAUUUCUUCCUCUAUUUUCCUUUCGUUAUUUUAUUUUCUUAGUGUUCGAAUCUAGUUAACUCCCUAACUAAGUCGCUAAAAAACUGAUUUUGCAAAAACCUUCUCAGUAAUUAACUACUUUUCCAACAAAUCGAUUUUUCAAAGUUAGUCAAAAGAACGUUUUCAAACAGAUUGGAUAACCGCAAGUUAGAGGACGUUUUAGGUGUCUAACACCUUCCUAAAACAUUAAUAGGAACCGCUUACUCAGAAUCUUCAAACUUAAAAUGAUUUUUCUGUUUUGAAUCGUUUGAAGUAACUCCCUAAAAGUUUCUUAAUUCCUUUUCAAAAUUAAGUGGCGACUCUCUUUCACAAAAUGUCAAAAUUUUAUCAAAACAGUGAUUACACUUUUUGAAUUUCAAAACACAAGUUCACCUUUCAAGAACUACAUUAAACCAUUUUCAAGUCACUAAUCCACUUUUCAAGUGACUAGUACACAUUUCAAGGAACUACACUUAACCAUUUUCAACGCUCUAAUUCACAUUUCAAGUGACUAAGUCUAACCAUUUUCAAGUCAUGAAUUCAUAUUUCAAGUGUCAACAGUAAACCAAUUUCAAGUUAUGAAUUCAUAGUUUCAAGUGAUUACACUUUACAAAUUUCAAAACACAAGUUCACCUUUCAAGAACUACACUAAACCAUUUUCAAGUCCCUAAUCCACUUUUCAAGUUACUAGUACAUAUUUCAAAAUGCUACACUUAACUAUUUUCAACACUGCACUGAACCAAUAUUCAAAACUUUAACGCGUCCGUUAAUGUUAAUUAAAACAUAUGCUUGAAUUCCACAUGUAUUUGUGAGUGAUUGAAUAUGGCACUAACACAGCAUGGGAUGGCCAGCUUGUUUGUGUAACAUAUUUGAAAACCCCAACUAACAAAUCUAUAAAAUAAAAUUGAAAGUGACAAUACCAAGUGAUAUAUAUAUAUAUAUAUAUGAUGAAUAAUGAAUAAUUAGAUAAAAAAAAUUAUUUAUUAUAAGAUUUUACGAAUUAACACAAGUUAUAUAGUUCUAGUCAUUACUCAACCAUAGUGUUAAUUAGGUCCAUUAAUGUUUCCUGUGUUUAUCCCUUAUGAUUCAUGAAAAAAAAAGAUUAUAUUCUAGUAUCUAAUGUUUCUAUUAAUCUAUAAUGAACUCCAACUAUGAGAGGGUUAUAACUUAGUGAUCAAAAGCAUAGGCAUAAUUAACAACUCAGUUUACAAACCCCUCCUGUAUUACUUCAACAAUAAAAAGGAAAUUAAAACUCAAAUGAACACAGAUAAACUACGAAAAAUACCAACUUCAAAAUAAAAAGAUCGAACCAAAAUACGAGAGAUAGAGAAGAAGGGGAUGAGAAGUGCAGACUUAAAAUUAGGGAUGAGAAGACUACGGAUUUUUCAUAGUAAUUUUGUUUGCCUCUUCUCUUCUUCAUACGUGUUAUUAUUUAUAACUAAUGCAUCACCCGAGUCCCACACAUAACUUUUUCAUUUUCUAAUUUUUCCCUUCACUGUAUAUUCUUGACUCAAAUCAUUCAUAACACAUAAGUAAACGUCAAUUAAACUAAAUUUGUUCAUCAAGCACAACUGAAAAUAGUGAAAAAUAAUAAAGCAGCAAGUAGAUAUCAAUUAAGGUAAGAGAGCUAACGGAGAAAAGAAUGAGGAAGACCAGAGAGGCGGUGGGACGACUGAUAUAGAUGGCUUUUCGUCAAUGAAAACUCCGGCGUUAUCUCGAUGGCGGCAUCCACUAGUGCUUUGCCGGCUAACAUCGCGGAUGCUGAGAGCAUUUCAUGGUGUCAGCGCUGGCUUUGAGGCUAGCCGAUUGGUCUGUCAAUAUUGGCGACACGACAGGGAGAAGAAGAAGGCAAGGGAGGCGGCGCCAUUGUUGGUCAGUCCACCGGCGGCGGUUCGCUGUCUGUUAUGAGAGUCUUCUAGAGAGAGAGAAUAUAGGGAAGGAAGAGCCUUUGUGCGACGGAAAAAUGGGGGCUUAGGGUUUGGUCAUGUGUUUUAAAAGGAAAGAG